GUGCCAGCGGCCGCGUUAAUACAGAGGUCCCAAGCGUUGUUCGGAUUCACUGGGCGUAAAGGGUGCGUAGGUGGCAGGGUAAGUCGGAUGUGAAAUCUCCGAGCUCAACUCGGAAAUGGCAUUGGAAACUACCCAGCUAGAGGGUCGGAGGGGGGACUGGAAUUCUCGGUGUAGCAGUGAAAUGCGUAGAUAUCGAGAGGAACACCAGUGGCGAAGGCGAGUCCCUGGACGACUCCUGACACUGAGUCACGAAAGCUAGGGGAGCAAACGGGAUUAGAUACCCCAGUAGUCC
rnacentral:rRNA from 1 species